rnacentral:rRNA from 1 species
CGCGUAGGCGGAUAUCCAAGUCAGGGGUGAAAUCUUUCAGCUUAACUGGAAAACGGCCUUUGAUACUGGAUGUCUGGAGUGAGGUAGGGGCAUGCGGAACUUCCGGUGGAGCGGUGAAAUGCGUAGAUAUCGGAAGGAACACCGGUGGCGAAGGCGGCGUGCUGGACCUCAACUGACGCUGAGGCGCGAAAGCCAGGGGAGCAAACGGGAUUAGAUACCCCGGUAGUCCUGGCCCUAAACGAUGGGUACUAGACUGUAGACUGAACAUGGGUUUACAGUCGAAGCAAAAGUGCUAAGUACCCCGCCUGGGGAGUAUGGUCGCAAGGCUGAA